rnacentral:misc_RNA from 1 species
ACGGGGUCUGAGGUGAAUCGGAAACCUACUGGACAGACAGACUUGCUCAGAAUUGAGACCCUACACCAUGCAGAUAAAGAGAAGACUGAAUCUUACAUUCUUGAAUUGGUGGUUUGGCUUCACCAUCUUGUGAGCAAAGCAAGGGCAAACAAUGGUGGAAUCAGAUCUCCAGUAAAAUCUCCAAUUCGAUCACCCAAUCAGAAGAUGAUUCAGUUAUCUACCGACAAGCCGAACUCUUCAUCCCCC